rnacentral:misc_RNA from 1 species
GAUGAAGAACGCAGUGAAAUGCGAUACUUGGUGUGAAUUGCAGAAUCCCGUGAACCAUCGAGUCUUUGAACGCAAGUUGCGCCCGAAGCCACUAGGCCGAGGGCACGCCUGCCUGGGCGUCACACGCCGUUGCCCCCCCAUCUCCUCCUUCGGGAUUGCGGGGGGGCGGAUGAUGGCCUCCUGUGCGCCUAGCCGCGCGGUUGGCAUAAAUACCAAGUCCUCGGCGACGCACGCCACGACAAUCGGUGGUUGCGAAACCUCGGUUGCCCGUCGUGUGCGUUCGUCGCGCAUCGAGGGCUCGAAAAAAUGCUCGGCUCCGGCUGGGCUUUCAACGCGACCCCAGGUCAGGCGGGGUUACCCGCUGAAUUUAAGCAUAUCAAUAAGCGGAGGA